rnacentral:rRNA from 1 species
GACGAACGCUGGCGGCGUGCUUAACACAUGCAAGUCGAACGGAAAGGCCCUGCUUGUGUGGGGUGCUCGAGUGGCGAACGGGUGAGUAACACGUGAGUAACCUUCCCUGGACUUGGGGAUAACUUCAGGAAACUGGGGCUAAUACCGGAUAGGAGCGCCUGCUGCAUGGGGGGGGUUGGAAAGUUUCGGCGGUGGGGGAUGGACUGGCGGCUUAUCAGCUUGUUGGGGGAGUAGUGGCUUACCAAGGCUUUGACGGGUAGCCGGCAUGAGAGGGUGACCGGCGACAAUGGGCCUGAGAGAGGGCCCAGAGUCGUACGGGAGGCAGCAGUGGGGAAUAUUGCACAGUGGGGCGAAGCGUGAUGCAGCGACGCCGCGUGCGGGAUGACGGCCUUCGGGUUGUAAACCGCUUUCGGCUGUGACGAUGCGUGAGUGACGGUACUGGGUAAAGAAGCACCGGCUAACUACGUG